GGUGAGUUUCUCUUGUUUACAGAUGUAUAUUUAUUUCACGUCUGAUAUAUGAAUGCUUCCAUAUGUGAAGUCUAGCUAAUUUUCCUUGUAUGGUAAAGCUACACAAUUUUUGACUAGGUGUUAGAAUGGAAGUUGAGCUCCUUUUAUUGACCGUAACGACCGUACUUUGUGUAAAUUAACUCACACCAUGAGUCUUAUUGAAAGGGCCAGAGCCAGCUUUAUUAAGGGUGUAGUAAAAAAUGUACAAAAACAAAUAAUGUGGGCAAAACACCUGUUAAUUUGUGCCUCCGAACAUAUUUAGAUAUAUUAGAAGAUGUUAUCAGUUGUCUCGUGGUGUAUAAUAUAAAUGGAGUGAAAUAUUUGAUGUACUAGAUCAUUGGCUUUCAGUCUGUCAUGGUUUGCUGGAGAUUUUUUUUUGUAUUGUUUACUGCUUCAAAAUUUCCAAUCGACAUCACUGUGUGAUAAUACUGAGCCGAAGCUUGUUGCUUACAGAACAUGGAUGGAGGAGGUUAUUCUGAAGUAAGUUUGAAAAAAAAAGACCUGGAUAGAUCAAAGAAAUACAUCAAGAUGUCGCAGAAGUGGCCGGGAAGGAUGUGUUGCCAACACCACCGAGCUUCGGGUAGAUGGCCGGCCGAAUCUUGAACACAACCCACACUGUCCCCAUCGUGUGGCCGGCAGUGUCGAGCCCUUCAUUCGUCGCUGCAGCAGAUUUUUCUUCGUACGUGGAGGAGAAGAAGCACAGUGUAAAGGGAAGAUUCUCGGAACUGUGGUCCAAGGAGGAGCAGAAACAAGCACUCGUGAGACACAAGAUCGGUGACCAUGCUCGAUAACGUUGACAACAUCCUGAAGCCCACGACACUCCCCGAGUUCACCAUAUGAUCAUAGAGCAGCAAGAACUAGAGUUUCAAGCUUCGUUGUUCGCAACCACUAGCAAAUAGAAGCCUGCAUUUUCAGUGCCCGCUUGUAGAUAUGUGUGCUAUAAACAAAGAGGAACCCGAGUGUCAUGUCCUAUUCCUCUACUGUUGUAAACAUUUUUGUGAUGUGAACAAUACAUCCUUGUUUGGUUUGGUUA